GUUAUAUGGUCAAGCGAAUAAGCGCACACGGUGGAUGCCUUGGCGGUCAGAGGCGAUGAAGGACGUGGCAGCCUGCGAAAAGUAUCGGGGAGCUGGCAACAAGCUUUGAUCCGGUAAUGUCCGAAUGGGGAAACCCACCCGCUUGCGGGUAUCCUGCAGUGAAUACAUAGCUGCUGGAAGCGAACCUGGUGAACUGAAAUAUCUAAGUAACCAGAGGAAAAGAAAUCAACCGAGAUUCCGUAAGUAGCGACGAGCGAACGCGGACUAGCCCUUAAGCUGGAUUGGUUCUAGGAAAACGCUCUGGAAAGAGCGGCCAUAGAAGGUGAUAGCCCUGUAUCUGAAAGGGCCAUUCCAGUGAAGACGAGUAGGGCGGGGCACGUGAAACCCUGUCUGAACAUGGGGGGACCAUCCUCCAAGGCUAAAUACUACUGACCGACCGAUAGUGAACCAGUACCGUGAGGGAAAGGCGAAAAGAACCCCGGAGAGGGGAGUGAAAUAGAACCUGAAACCGUGUGCGUACAAGCAGUAGGAGCUCCGCAAGGAGUGACUGCGUACCUUUUGUAUAAUGGGUCAGCGACUUACUGUUCGUGGCAAGCUUAACCGUAUAGGGGAGGCGAAGGGAAACCGAGUCUGAUAAGGGCGCAUAGUCGCGGGCAGUAGACCCGAAACCGGGUGAUCUAGUCAUGCCCAGGGUGAAGGUGCGGUAACACGCACUGGAGGCCCGAACCCACUCCCGUUGCAAAGGUAGGGGAUGAGGUGUGAUUAGGAGUGAAAAGCUAAUCGAACCCGGAGAUAGCUGGUUCUCCUCGAAAGCUAUUUAGGUAGCGCCUCAUAUGUAUCCUCUCGGGGGUAGAGCACUGUUAUGGCUAGGGGGUCAUCGCGACUUACCAAACCAUUGCAAACUCCGAAUACCGAGACGGACUGUAUGGGAGACACACGGCGGGUGCUAACGUCCGUCGUGAAAAGGGAAACAACCCAGACCCACAGCUAAGGUCCCAAAUUUUGUGCUAAGUGGAAAACCAUGUGGAAAGGCACAGACAGCCAGGAGGUUGGCUUAGAAGCAGCCACCCUUUAAAGAAAGCGUAAUAGCUCACUGGUCGAGUCGGUCUGCGGGGAAGAUUUAACGGGGCUAAGCACAGAACCGAAGCUUGGGGUGCAUAACUUUGUUAUGCGCGGUAGAGGAGCGUUCCGUAAGCCGUUGAAGGUGGAUUGAGAAGUCUGCUGGAGGUAUCGGAAGUGCGAAUGCUGACAUGAGUAACGAUAAUGCGGGUGAAAAACCCGCACGCCGAAAGCCCAAGGUUUCCUUGCGCAACGUUAAUCGGCGCAGGGUGAGUCGGCCCCUAAGGCGAGGACGAAAGUCGUAGUCGAUGGGAAGCAGGUUAAUAUUCCUGCACCUCGCGUAAGUGCGAUGGAGGGACGGAGAAGGUUAGGUGUACCAGGCGUUGGUUGUCCUGGGGAAAGGCGGUAGGUUUGGAUCUUUGGCAAAUCCGGGAUCCUUUAAGACCGAGCACCGAGACGAGCCUUUAUGGCGAAGUCACUGAUACCACGCUUCCAGGAAAAGCUCCUAAGCUUCAGCUUACGCAGACCGUACCGUAAACCGACACAGGUGGGUAGGAUGAGAAUUCUCAGGCGCUUGAGAGAACUCGGGUGAAGGAACUAGGCAACAUGGCACCGUAACUUCGGGAGAAGGUGCACCCUUUUUGGUGGCUCGUGCGAGCUAUAGCUGAAGAGGGUCGCAGUAACCAGGCCGCUGCGACUGUUUAUCAAAAACACAGCACUCUGCAAACACGAAAGUGGACGUAUAGGGUGUGACGCCUGCCCGGUGCUGGAAGGUUAAUUGAUGGGGUCAGCCGCAAGGCGAAGCUCUUGAUCGAAGCCCCAGUAAACGGCGGCCGUAACUAUAACGGUCCUAAGGUAGCGAAAUUCCUUGUCGGGUAAGUUCCGACCUGCACGAAUGGCGUAACGACAGCGGCGCUGUCUCCACCCGAGACUCAGUGAAAUUGAAAUCGCUGUGAAGAUGCAGCGUUCCCGUGGCAAGACGGAAAGACCCCGUGAACCUUUACUAUAGCUUUACACUGAACGUUGAGUUCGUCUGUGUAGGAUAGGUGGGAGGCUAUGAAACCAUGGCGCUAGCUGUGGUGGAGCCAUCCUUGAAAUACCACCCUGUCGUGCUUGACGUUCUAACCUGGGCCCAUUAUCUGGGUCGGGGACCGUGUAUGGUGGGUAGUUUGACUGGGGCGGUCUCCUCCUAAAGAGUAACGGAGGAGCUCGAAGGUACGCUCAGCGCGGUCGGACAUCGCGCACUGUGUGCAAAGGCAUAAGCGUGCUUGACUGCAAGAUCGACGGAUCAAGCAGGUAGGAAACUAGGACUUAGUGAUCCGGUGGUUCUGUAUGGAAGGGCCAUCGCUCAACGGAUAAAAGGUACUCCGGGGAUAACAGGCUGAUACCGCCCAAGAGUUCAUAUCGACGGCGGUGUUUGGCACCUCGAUGUCGGCUCAUCACAUCCUGGGGCUGUAGUCGGUCCCAAGGGUAUGGCUGUUCGCCAUUUAAAGUGGUACGCGAGCUGGGUUCAGAACGUCGUGAGACAGUUCGGUCCCUAUCUGCCAUGGGCGUUGGAGAUUUGAGAGGGGCUGCUCCUAGUACGAGAGGACCGGAGUGGACGAACCUCUGGUGUUCCGGUUGUCACGCCAGUGGCAUUGCCGGGUAGCUAUGUUCGGAAGCGAUAACCGCUGAAAGCAUCUAAGCGGGAAGCGCGCCUCAAGAUGAGAUCUCCCGGGGCACAAGCCCCCUGAAGGAACCAUGUAGACUACGUGGUUGAUAGGUCAGGUGUGUAAGUACAGCAAUGUAUUGAGCUAACUGAUACUAAUGAUCCGUGCGGCUUGACCAUAUAACCU
rnacentral:rRNA from 1 species